GACGUAGGUGGCGAACGUUAUCCGGAAUUAUUGGGCGUAAAGGGUGCGUAGAUGGCUUAAUAAGUUAGCGGUGGGAAAUCGAGGCUUAACCUCGCGGAAGCCGGUAAUACUGUUAGGCUUGAGUACAGAAGAGGUUAAUGGAACUCCAUGUGGAGCGGUAAAAUGCAUAGAUAUAUGGAAGAACACCAAUAACGGCGAAGGCAAUUAACUAUUCUGCUACUGACAUUGAGGCACGAAAGCGUGGGGAGCAAAACGG
rnacentral:rRNA from 1 species